rnacentral:rRNA from 1 species
CCUACGGGUGACAGCAGUGAGGAAUAUUGGUCAAUGGACGAGAGUCUGAACCAGCCCAGUAGCGUGAAGGAUGACUGCCCUAUGGGUUGUAAACUUCUUUUAUAUGGGAAUAAAAUGUUCCACGUGUGGGAUUUUGUAUGUACCAUAUGAAUAAGGAUCGGCUAACUCCGUGCCAGCAGCCGCGGUAAUACGGAGGAUCCGAGCGUUAUCCGGAUUUAUUGGGUUUAAAGGGAGCGUAGGUGGAUUGUUAAGUCAGUUGUGAAAGUUUGCGGCUCAACCGUAAAAUUGCAGUUGAAACUGGCAGUCUUGAGUACAGUAGAGGUGGGCGGAAUGCGUGGUGGAGCGGUGAAAUGCUUAGAUAUCACGAAGAACUCCGAUUGCGAAGGCAGUUCACUGGACUGCAACUGACACUGAGGCUCGAAAGUGUGGGUAUCAAACAGGAUUAGAUACCCCAGUAGUC